CCUACGGGAGGCAGCAGUGAGGAAUAUUGGUCAAUGGGCGCGAGCCUGAACCAGCCAAGUAGCGUGAAGGAUGACUGCCCUACGGGUUGUAAACUUCUUUUAUAAAGGAGUAAAGUGAGGCACGUGUGCCUUUUUGUAUGUACUUUAUGAAUAAGGAUCGGCUAACUCCGUUCCAGCAGCCGCGGUAAUACGGAGGAUCCGAGCGUUGUCCGGAUUUAUUGGGUUUAAAGGGAGCGUAGAUGGGUUGUUAAGUCAGUUGUGAAAGUUUGCGGCUCAACCGUAAAAGUGCAAUUGAUACUGGCAGCCUUGAGUGCAGUAGAGGUAGGUGGAAUUCGUGGUGUAGCGGUGAAAUGCUUAGAUAUCACGAAGAACUCCGAUUGCGAAGGCAGCUUACUAGACUGCCACUGACAUUGAUGCUCGAAAGUGUGGGUAUCAAACAGGAUUAGAUACCCGGGUAGUC
rnacentral:rRNA from 1 species